GGGCAUGUAGCUCAGUGGUAGAGCAACGGCCUUAUAAGCCGUAGGUCGAAGGUCCGAUCCCUUCCAUGCCCACCA
rnacentral:tRNA from 1 species